CUAAAUGUACAUUCAAUUAACCCAAGACUGAACUAGGGAGGAAUAGGAAAUAUGAAAAUACCAAUUACCAGUAAUGAAAUUGAAGCAGUAAUUUAAAGACUUCCAACAAACAGAAGUCCAGGACCAGAUGGCUCACAGGUGAAUUCUACUAAACAUUUUAAAAAGAGUUAUCACUUAUUCUUCUCAAACUACUCCAAAAAAUUGCAGAGGAAGCAACACCCAAACUCAUUCUACCAGGCCAGCAUCAUUCUGAUACCAAAAUAGACAAAGAUAUCACACAAAAAAAGAAAAUUACAGGCCAGUAUCACUGAUGAACAGAUGCGAAAAUCCUCAACAAAACUUUAGAAAAUGGAAUCCAACAUUUAAAGGAUACAGGGUAUUGACUUAGUGAAAUAAGUCAGACAGAGAAAUAAAAAUAUUGUAUGUUAUCAGUUUUAUGUGGAAUCUUAAAAAUAAAACAAACUUGUGAAUAUUAAAAAAAGAAAUACAUUUUACCUCAUGACCCAGUAUGUGCACACACAGACACACAUACACAAAACUGAAACAAACGUAUCACAAAAUAGUACCUUUACUAUACUCACACUCUUUGUAUUUUCUAUUUUUUGAUGCUGGUCUAUAAAAUUGAUUUCUUAGCCUAGUGUGUAAUGACCCACUAUGUUCUA